AAGACAGUGACAGUGAUGUCCCACUGGAUGGCGCUGUUCACUCACAAAUCUCUUAUAUUUCAAGUGCAGCUCCACCUAAUGAGUGAUUGAAGCCAGUGCACAAUCACAUCGUCCAUUUUGGAGUAUUAUAUCUGUUCCUUUUUUAUGUCAGUUAUGUUUAAUUACAUUGUAUAUAUUUAGGUGCCUAUAGCUGUAUAAUAUUUUAAAAAUGGGAUUGUUUUUGCUUUCCCUCCAAUAUAUGGUAAUAUUUAGCAAUGCAAUUUCUUUUCCUGAUUAAAAUGGGUUUAUUUAUCCGCCAUGACAGGAAGAAAUGAAUUUCAAGUGGGAAAACCUGUGGAAAGACCAACGUUUCCUUUCUUCGUCAUUUGCCGUGUCAUUUCUCUGUAAGUAUUUUGAGACCCCCGAACCCUUUGGCAGAGCCGCUGACCUUUUCUGCCUUUUAAGUGGCAGAGCUGCACAUUAAUCAUUAAUCAGCUUACACCACACUGGAGUUCACAGUUCUCAGCCAAUUUUCACUACCAAUGAAUCCAUGUGGAUUUUCUGAGAGAUCCGUUAUGUAAUUGUGACCCCUGUGCAUGAGCAAUAGAGACAUAAGGUGGUUUAAAGCCAGAUGGGACCACAGCCUUAAAACUUUGAUCACACUCUCCAGUUGUAAUUUCAAAUCUGUCAAGCAUGUCUGUCCACUCAAUCACACUCCACAGAGGUGGCGUCUGGUGGACCCUGUAGCUGGCUUUUGAUUGGAAACAAAAGAGCAAAGGUGCAUUUGUAGACCUAAUCAUGGGCCUGCAUGAAUUAUAAUAUCUGAUUAUGACAGAACAUGAAGAAAAAAUGUUCCAGUGUUUGUCUACAAUGAUUGAAAACUCCAAAGUUAUCCUCAAAAAGUAAUUACGAAGACCUAAUAUUAAUGCAUUUACAAAUGAAUACGAACUGCUGCUGAACUUGCACAAACUCUCUGUAACACGUGAGCUGUUUAUAUUUUCAUAUACUGGUGUGAGAGAAGUGGGAUGUGUUAGAACAAAACUCCUAAAGUUAGAUUUGGACAGCGGCCCUGCUCUGGAGUGCAGAGUGAAAAUUCAAAUCUAUGCGGAGCUAUUAUUCAGACGGAAGGUGUCUGUACGUGUGGGCCGGGCUGAACGGCUCAAGGGAGGGAAAUUGAAUCUGUGGUCUGGGAGCUCUGCUACUCUUAGUCUGCUGCCUCUGACAGUGAUGGAUUUUGUCCUGAUGGGAGAGUGUCAUACCAUCAUUUCUAAUAUCUCUCUUUCUUUUCACACACAUGCACACACACACACACACACACAGUUACAAACACACUGUUGCUUAAUAUGUGAAAACCUAACUACAACUCGCAUUUAACACGCUUAAGUAUAUAGUUCAGCCAAAAAUGUAAAUUCUCUAAUCAUUGACUCACCCUCUUGUCGUACCAAAUCCAUAUGAUUUUCUGUGAAGCAUAAAAAGAAAAUUUUUGAAGAAUAUCCUGCUGCUCUUUACCCUAUGGGGACUGGUAAACACUAAAAUAACAAAAAAGAACAAUUAAUGUGGUCCAGUAGACUCAUGAAAUAUAUUUCAAUUCAAGUUUAUUUGUAUAGCACUUCUCACGAUACAAAUCAUUGCAAAGCAACUUUACAGAAAAUUACAUUUCUACAAUAUUAAGUAGUAGCUCAUCAGUGGUGACUGUCAGUUAAUGUUCAUGUGGCAGAAAUGUAUGGAUAAAAUCAAUUAAAGAGUAAGACGUAAUCAAAAAGACGAUGAACACUAUUUACAGGCAUUAUUAUAUGAUGCAAUCAAACUUAUAGCAAAAUUUGGUAGUUCUUUGUUGUUUCAGGGUUGGCAUCAUCUCUUCUAAGGUGUUGUGGAUCCAGACUGAAGCUUGUGUAAAUCCUAGUGCAAAAACAGCUAAACAAAUAGAGAUAUAAAUAGCGUAGCUGCUGUUCCAACCAAGCAAAAUGUAUUUGCUUAACCAAAGCUAAAGAUCAAUAAUGAGCAUUUGAUCUUUGAUAUAACUGCAGUCCAGGAUUCUGAGAAGCAUUUUUUGAAUGCUUGGCCAAAGAGAUGUGUCUGAACGCCGAACAUUAUCAGGAAGGCUACUCCAGAGUUUGGGAGCCAAAUGUGAAAAAGCUGUACCUCCUUUAGUGGACUUUGCUUUCCUAGGUACUACUAAAAGUACAGAGUUUUGUGACCUCAGGGAGCAGGAUGUAUUGUAGUGUGAUAGAAAACUAGUUAGGUAUGCAGGAACUAAACCAUUAAGGGCCUUAUAGGUUCCUUGUGACAGAUGCCCGAGGAGCCAUUGAGGAAACGGGAGCUGACUUCAUUGUGAGCUGAUGAAAGAGACAGACCUUGGCCUCCCAGAAGGAGUGAUUCUAUGAGGCGACUUGAAGAGGGAUAGUACCAUACAGGUGUGACAGCCCGUCAGAAACACAACGCGUGCGUUUACACACACAAAUACACAAAUGAGGGACAAAACUCGCAAAGGACAGAGCUGCACUGGGCACCUGUGCCACUUUGAUACCGCUGCCCGGGAAAAGUGUGGGAGAUGUUUGGAACAUCUUAAUGGUUCCUCAAAACAUGGUUGUGUUUUGAUACGAUGCUACUGAGCUGUAGUGCUGGUGCUUUCUCUGUAGACUCAAAGUAAACGUGCUACUCUGAACUUUAGGAGCAUCUUUUGAGUUUUUAUAUCCUGAUGGCCCUUAUAAUAAAGUACUGUGGUGGUAUUGUGGUCCAGA